rnacentral:lncRNA from 1 species
CACCUUCUCAAUCCUCACUAAGAAUCUAAAUUCCAUGAGAUCAGAAGCUUGGUUUUGUUUACUGCUGUGUCCACAGCACCUGGAAUAGUAUGUGAAUUUGUUAAAUACUGUUUAGAAAGAUGAUGAAAUUCAGGUGUUAGAUAACCAAAGCUAUUAAAAUACCUCUGAGCUGUUUUUUGAGCCAUUUUUUAAUAUCAGUGCAUCAUUUUUAUUUUCAGAUUGGGACAGUGCAACUUUAAGUAAUGAGUCACUCUUGGACACUGUGUCUAGAUUUGUUCUUGCAGCACUUCUGAAACACACAAAUUUACUUAGUCAAGCAUGUGGAGAAAGCCGGCAAGUAACUUAAAACUAUGCUCAGACAAAUAUUUGCUCUUAUGAUGUUAGAAAUUAGGUAACUUUCCUAUUUUGGUUCUUUAUUUAGAUACCAACCUGGUAAAAGCUUAUCAGAAGUGUACCGUUGUGUAUACAAAGUUCGAAGCCGUUUACUUGCUUGCAAGAACCUUGAACUUAUUCAGACCAGGUCAUCAUCACGAGACAGAUGGAUCUCAGACAACCAAGAUUCUGCAGAUGUUGAUUCUCAGGAGCAUUCAUUUACCCGGACCAUUGAUGAAGAAGCUGAAAUGGAAGAACAGGCUGAGAGAGACCGGGAAGAGGGGCAUCCAGAGCCAGAGGAUGAGGAGGAAGAACGGGAACAUGAAGUGAUGACAGCUGGCAGUGAGUACAUUCUUUGUAUUUUAGAGAUAAACAUCAUGACAUUCUUUUUCAUAGGAAAGCUGACUUGAGAGAGAAAGGCAAAGUUGCUCCAUAGUUUUUCUGAGACAAUCCUAUACUCUACUGAUGAUCUGAAUUUACAUUAGCUAACAUUUCACAAGGGUACUCACAACUGUGCUAGCGUCACUCCAGUGCUAUUGGGUUGCAUGUCCAGGCCUGAAAAGCUCUGGAAGCAGGCAUGGAAGUAUCUGAGCCUCCUAAUGAAAUGACAGACAUGAGUCAUUGAACAAGGUCAUGCAAAAUACAUGUAUGCUUAUUAAGAGUGCCACGUUGUUUUCCAUGUGUAGAACUUACUACUGUUUCAGUAGGGAGAAGGAAUGUAUAGGAGAAUACCAUUGUGUGGAUGAAUAAACUUCAUACUUUUAUAUUCCAAGGCUACAGAUAGUUUUUAAAGGUAAUUAUUUAUAUGUUAAAAGAGAAAGGUAAAAAAAAAAAAAGAGAAAGGUCAGAGCUUUUCAAAUAUUUAUUAAUAUCUUUUGAGUGAUUUCACUGUUUCAAGUUAGAGUAUGUAUUCAAUCUGUAGCCUAAAACAUUAGGGCCAGCCAUGCAUUUGGUGUUGACAUCAUCUGUAUGUCAGUCACCUUGACACUUACUCUAUUAUCAAUUUAUUUGUGUUCUACGUACUUGUACAAAUAAUUCUGAGCUGUCCAUACAAGACUAAACACUAAACAAAAAGAAAAAGAUGAGGUUCAAAAGGAGAAAACUAGUUUAGAGAUGAGGAAGAAUGACUGUUGUUUUAAAAACUAGGCUGAAAGCAGCCCAAGUGCCCAUCA